AAUCAACGCUGGCGGCGUGCCUCAGACAUGCAAGUCGAACGCGAAAUUUCCCUUCGGGGAGAAAGUAGAGUGGCGCACGGGUGAGUAACACGUAGGUAAUUUGCCUUUGGGUGGGGAAUAACUCAGGGAAACUUGAGCUAAUACCGCAUAAUGCAGCGGCUCGACAUCGAGACAGUUGUUAAAGCGGGGGAGUCGCAAGACCUCGCGCCUGAAGAGAAGCCUGCGGCAGAUUAGCUAGUUGGUAAGGUAAUGGCUUACCAAGGCGACGAUCUGUAACCGGCCUGAGAGGGCGGUCGGUCACACUGACACUGACAUACGGGUCAGACUCCUACGGGA
rnacentral:rRNA from 1 species